ACGUCCAUACCGCGCUGAACGCACCGGUUCUGCGUCCGACCACUGCAGUUAAGUAGUGUCGGACGAAGCCAGUGCUUGGAUGGGUGACCGCCUGGCAGGCCGUGCUGUU